rnacentral:rRNA from 1 species
AAUGGACGAAAGUCUGACGGAGCACGCCGCGUGAGUGAUGAAGGCUUUCGGGUCGUAAAACUCUGUUGUUAGGGAAGAACAAGUGCUAGUUGAAUAAGCUGGCACCUUGACGGUACCUAACCAGAAAGCCACGGCUAACUCCGUGCCAGCAGCCGCGGUAAUACGUAGGUGGCAAGCGUUAUCCGGAAUUAUUGGGCGUAAAGCGCGCGCAGGUGGUUUCUUAAGUCUGAUGUGAAAGCCCACGGCUCAACCGUGGAGGGUCAUUGGAAACUGGGAGACUUGAGUGCAGAAGAGGAAAGUGGAAUUCCAUGUGUAGCGGUGAAAUGCGUAGAGAUAUGGAGGAACACCAGUGGCGAAGGCGACUUUCUGGUCUGUAACUGACACUGAGGCGCGAAAGCGUGGGGAGCAAACAGGAUUAGAUACCCUGGUAGUCCACGCCGUAAACGAUGAGUGCUAAGUGUUAGAGGGUUUCCGCCCUUUAGUGCUGAAGUUAACGCAUUAAGCACUCCGCCUGGGGAGUACGGC